rnacentral:rRNA from 1 species
GAUGAACGCUGGCGGUAUGCUUAACACAUGCAAGUCGAACGGAGCUUUUCGGAGCUUAGUGGCGGACGGGUGAGUAACGCGUGAGAAUCCGCCUUUUGGACCGGGACAACUGCGGGAAACGGCAGCUAAGACCGGAUGUGCCUUCGGGUGAAAUAUUCAUAGCCAAAAGAGGAGCUCGCGACCGAUUAGCUAAUUGGCGGGGUAAGAGCCUACCAAGGCUGCGAUCGGUAGCCGGUUUGAGAGGACGACCGGCCACACUGGGACUGAGACACGGCCCGGACUCCUACGGGAGGCAGCAGUGGGGAAUUUUCCGCAAUGGGCGAAAGCCUGACGGAGCAAUACCGCGUGAGGGAGGAAGGCUCUUGGGUCGUAAACCUCUUUUCUCAGGGAAGAAGCAAUGACGGUACCUGAGGAAUCAGCAUCGGCUAACUCCGUGCCAGCAGCCGCGGUAAUAC